rnacentral:lncRNA from 1 species
AAUUGACCCCAUGUUCCUUCUUUCUUCUGUUUCAAAGUUUAUAGAAUCCCAUGUGUAAUAAGCACAUUAUCCGUGAUUUGUCUUCCAAGAAAAAAAUUGAUUGCGUCUCGUCAAUAUAGAUGUCCAAUACUGUUCUAAAUCUAUUAACCAUAGCUUUAGAAAUAAUUUUGUACACCACAUUGCAAAGACUAAUUAGCUUGAACUAUGUCAUACAGUUUGGUGAACUCACUUUUGGAAUAAGUACUAUACCAGUAUUAUUAAUAUCUCCAAUCUCCUUCUCCUAUUUAAGAUGUCUAAGAAAUACUUAGAGAACUCAUCUCCCACAAUAUGCCAGUAUUUUUGAUAAAACAAAGCAGGCUAACCAUCCAUACUUGAUGCUUUCAAAGGUUUAAUGUAUUUUUACUAUCGUUGUCAUUUCCUCUAUUCUAAAUUCUUCUAAUAAUACCAUGUUCAUACUUUUCUUAAUGCACUUUAUAAUACCUGAUAACACUCUAUCAUCAUUCCACAUAUCUGAC